rnacentral:rRNA from 1 species
GAGACUGCCGGUAAUAAACCGGAGGAAGUGGGAUGACGUCAAAUCAUCAUGCCCCUUAUGACCUGGGCUACACGCGUGCUACAAUGGUUGGUACAACGAGUUGCGAGUCGGUGACGGCGAGCUAAUCUCUUAAAGCCAAUCUCAGUUCGGAUUGUAGGCUGCAACUCGCCUACAUGAAGUCGGAAUCGCUAGUAAUCGCGGAUCAGCACGCCGCGGUGAAUACGUUCCCGGGCCUU